rnacentral:tRNA from 1 species
UAGGAGGUAGUACAAUUGGGAGUACGUGAGGUUUUGAGUCUCUUGGUGCGGGGUCGUGGCCCGCCUUUCUAG